UUUCGCACCUCUGAAAAUGAAACUUCCUCAAAAGUCACACUAUUCAUAAGCUGAAAGCAACGUCACGUUCAUCAUUUGACAGCUGGUCGUCUUCACAGCGAUGGACGAAAUCUACGCUAACGUUGAAUAUGUGAAGUCUCAGGCUUCCGUAAGACCUUCAACACCUGCCCCAGGUAAGAAUGAUCAGUCUGUGCAUCUUCUCCUGACCAGUGUGCUGACUGGUCUUCAUGUGUCCAGGUCCCAGCAGCCCAAGAAGCAGACCUCAUGUGGCUGUUGCUGUCUCUCUGGGGCUGCUCAGUGUCCUCCUGCUGGCUGGACUCGUCUGUCUCGGUGUCCACGUGCAUGUCAGUGGAGACAAGCUGUCCUCAGUGUCUGCAGAGAGAGACCAGCUGAAGGACAAAGUCACUGCACUGACCCAAGAGAAGGACGGACUUCAGCUCUUGUUGAAACAGAAGAAAACGUGUCCUGAGGGGUGGACGAUGUUCAGAUGUUCCUGUUAUCUUCUCUCUACACGGGAUGAUUCCUGGGAAAAUGGCAGAAAGGACUGUGGAGACCAAGGAGCAGAUCUGGUGAUCAUAGACUCACUUGAAGAACAGGUAGUGUGAAGUUAUUUAUUGUUAUAUUCAGUUUUCCCCGUGUGACAAACUUUGGCAUUAACAAUUAAAGCCAAUUUGUCUUAAAGCUGCAUUCU